UAUGAAAAUGCAAAAAUAUAUACAUCUAAAUUACUAUGAUUAAAAUACACAUGUAAUAGGAAAAAAGAAAAAGAGAAAAAAGAACGCUGAUGGGCGUAGCGGGCUGGCCGAUCUCUCGUUGCCAGUCGGCCAGCCAACGUACAGGAGCCCUCGACUUUGACUGCCCUGCCCUGCUCCUCUUCCUCCCCGCCGCCGUCGUCGGCGUCGCUGCCGAAACCCGCGCCAAUCCCCCUUAUUUUUCUUUCUCCGGCGUCUCUCUGGGCGCCCUCCCACUCUGGCCCUCGAGUCACGCGCCUCUUGCCCAGACUCCUCUCCUCUCCCGCUGCCUUAUCUCCUCGAACGACUUCGCCCCCUUCGAGGCUGCCGGAGUUGAACCUCACGCCGCCCCUCUCACGCUUCGCACCGUCGCCAUCCUCACCCUCGCCUCGCCCCUACUGAAAUUGGGUUCCUGCAAUCGACGGAGCAAGCACUAAGCAGUGGUCAUUCGUUUCGUUUUCGUUUUCGUUUUCGUUUUUUCCCCCUUUUCCGUAGAGUAGAAAUGACGCCGCGUGUUAUGAUUUUCAGUAGUUCGGCAAAGUAUAUGUAUUGUAUGCUAAUAUAGUCCAGGUCAAUUCGCUCAUGGUUUCUCUCUUGUUUCGAAUUUUGUUGCUAGAGUAGUGGUCAUUCUUUUCGUUUUUCUUUUUUGUAGAAUAGAAUAUGUUAUGAUUUUCUGCAAUUCGGCAAAUGGUAUAAUAUGCUAAUCAAGGACAGGUCUAUUCGUUCAUCGUUUUUCUCUUGUUUCGAAUUUUGUUGCCAGGAACAGGAGCAUUCCAUUCUCCCAGAAAGUUAGUUGCAUGCAUCUGUCUCAGUGGGAGGAGUACAUGUGUUAGGGUGCACAUUGCACAUCCUGUCAUGCAAUAGCUUACUAUGAUACCUGUGGAGAUCCACCACUAUAGCUGUUAGUGGGUUGCUUUCUUCUGGCUAUAUCAUCCCAAUUCCCAACCCAAAGUUUGAACUUUUUCUUAACCCUUGGUGGAUCAGUGGCGGAUCCAGGAAUUGGCAGUUGGGUAUUCCCAAGUCAAAAAAAUUGUCCAAUCCAAAAUUACCAAAAGUUCACAAUAGCAUAAGUUAAAAGUACAAAUUAUUCAAACUAAAGAUGUUCCAUACUUCUAUGUAAUAAAGAGACAUACAAAAUAUUUAAAGAAAAUUACAAUGUAACUUUAAUGUUGCGCACUCGCGCUGGCCGUUGGCGUGCCUGUCGCCGCCCGCCGCCCUCGCUCCUGCACCCCUUGCCGGUUGCCCACUGGUCUAUUGUUGGCGUGCCACUCGCCGCCAGCGCCCCAUGUGGCUGUGCCUAGGGUUUGGGCGAUUUGGGGGAGAUCGGAGAUGAGAAUGCGAGGCAGGCAGGCAGAGGCAGCGAGUGCCGAAUUGGCCAAUUGGGGACUCGGGUGGAGGAAUGUGGACUGGGCCGCUGGCCUGCUGGUUGGUUUGUUGGGCAGCAGGGCAGGUAGAGUUGUUGGUCAUUUGUGCUAAGGACUCAAGAAACAAAGGAUAUGGCCCAACUAGAACUAUACACAUGUAUAUACCUACUGUAUACUUGAUUUUUUAUCCAAAAGAGUUGGGGAAUACCCAACCAUCAUACUGGAUCCGCCAGUGUGGUGGAUUUGAUAAAGAAAAGUUUUUUUAGAUAUGAUUGCUACCAAUUAACAUUUCACACAUCCCAAUUGUCGGAAUGCUUGGAUUUCUAAGGCUUAUACCCCUAUGCAGCUGCCUUGCCGUCAUCUUCUGUGUGCCAAUUGGAUUGAGGCCAAGAUGUGUGUUCAGGCCAGUAUACACGGCAGCCAUGUGAAUGGGGCUUAAUCUUUCUCUGGUGGUGGCCGUGUGGAGUUCACAUGUCGCUUGAACAUUGAGGCCAAUAUUUACUGAAGGACGUAUUUGAUCCAUGAGAAUUCAUUGCCAAAAAAUUAUGAUCUCGCUGCCUGACGAGAAGAUGCAUGAGAUUCUUCUGUUGCAGCAGCUAUUAUUCCUGUCCCUAUUAAGGAACGAUCAAGUGCCAUGAGCCAUAGCAUAGAGAAUUUUGAAGAGCAUUGUGAAGACUUAAGGGGGCAAGCUUUAGCCUUCUACUUCAGGUUUUUGUGAAGAUUCAUUGGCGCCGUGGUGACAAAGAGUAGCAACUGUUAUUCUUUUUUUUUCAAUGCUUGGUGGAUUUGACAAAGUUCCAAGAAAAGGUUUUUGUUAAGAUUCAUUGAUGCUGGAAGCAACAAACAGUGGCAACUGGUGUGUUUGGAUCCUUGAUGGAUUUGACAAAGUUCCUGUGAAGAUUCAUUGGUGCAGAAGGCGACAUAUCCCUUUCGAUUCUUCAAUGGACGCUCUUUGUUCUGUUACCACUAUUAAUUGUUGUGACAAAGUUGAUACAAACCCAAGGUUGAAGAAAACUGUCAGUUUACCACCAAGUUGUUUUGCAAAACAUCACAAUUCCCCAAAUUCUACCGAAUCCCAUCCAAUCCAAAUGAAUCUUGCGAGUUGAACACACCUAUGAGCAACGUGCAGUUUGCCCACCGCAUGCGCGAGACAUACCGACUGAUGGAAUCCAGAAAGAGGUGGCUAGUAUCUAAAUUCAAGGCUCGCUGAUUUGGUUGCAAGUUAUCAUCCGAACAAGCUCUAAAGAUAACAUAAAUCUAUUCAAAUGAACAGAGCCAAAGACACAGUUGGAUGACUCAAGGUGCUAAAGAUGUGCAGCUGACUGCAACAACAAUACAUCACCUGAACAGGAUCAGAAGGAAGAUGAGGCACUGACAUGAAGAUUUGGGAACAGACACACACCAAGAGUUCACUGACUUUUAUUUUUAUGAUUACUUGGCAGUGAAAAGUAACAGGUACAUAUCACAAACACGAAAACCAAGCAUAAAUAUAACAAGAUCAUAGCCGGUACAUGUUCGCAUAACAUAUGUCCCCUGCCAUGGUUCGGCACUGACGUACCAAAGGGCAGAAACCUACUACCAUAUUCCAUGGUUUUUGUGAACAAUUCAUUCAAACUAAUUAACAUCUAUUACUGACCAGAAUCCAUGGUCUAAGAACAGGCGUUCGUUGGGGGAGCUGGUUCAGGAGGAGGAACACGCUGGUUCAGGAGGACACACGAUGCAGUGGAAGCAGCAGGAGGCAGAGACCGCUCUGGACAUGGGUCAGGAGGAUCCAUCGGGCUGGAGGAAGGGAUCCUGAGGAAAGCAAGACGAUAGAGCCCCUCUUCCUCCUCGCCACCCUGCAUACGGCCCUCUCCGACCACGGCUCCCGUCCGGUCCACGACGAGACAGCCCGCGGCGUAGAACAUGGCGGCGAAACCAUACAGCGCGAGCUGGGACACGGAGACGAGGGUGACGCCAGGCCCGAGCUCGGGCACGUGGUGGACAUCGGGGACGGCGAACUCCGGCGUGCUUACGGAGCCCACGGCAACAACGCGCAUUUCCUUCCCGUCUCGCCUGGUGAUGGAGGCGGCGUCGCCGCACCGCGGUGUCCUCGUCUCCUUUAGCAUGCUCGCGUCGCCCGUCGCGUGCACGGUGCUUCCGGAAUCGAGGAUGAACUUUGAGCCGCCAUCAAUUGGGGGAGCAGCAAUCUUCGAUUCCAUCCGAUUGCUGCGGCUGCCGGCAUCAACUUGGUAUUAAUCGGUGAGAAGGCCCAGAACACGGAUGGACGGAGGAAUCGGGCGGCGGGCUUACCUGUCCGGCGAGGGAUCGACAGUUCCCCCGUGCUCCGUCAUCCCUGAACCCUAGCCGAGGAAGUUUCGAGGAAGGUGAUCCAGAUUCCAGACGGCGGCUGACCACGAUAAUAUUCUUUUUUUUUUUUUUCUGACGGGAGGCUAACCACGUCUCAAUUUGUACUUGGGCUUCUAAAUUCGGAGGUUGCUGGGCCGCAGAACUUUUUGUGGGCCAGAAAAUGGAGGCAGGUCCAAAUAAAAAGGAUUCCAAUAAUCUUGAUUUUUCUUUAUUUU